rnacentral:tRNA from 1 species
ACCUGGCUGGCUCAGUCGGUAGAGCACGCGACUCUUGAUCUCGGGGUUGUGACUUCAAGCUCCACACUGGGUG